UACGUAGAGGGCAAGCGUUGUCCGGAUUUAUUGGGCGUAAAGCGCGUGUAGGCGGCUUAGCAAGUCGGGCGUGAAAGCCCUCGGCUCAACCGAGGAAGUGCACCCGAAACUGCUGAGCUUGAGUGCCGGAGAGGAUGGCGGAAUUCCCCAAGUAGAGGUGAAAUUCGUAGAUAUGGGGAGGAACACCGGUGGCGAAGGCGGCCAUCUGGACGGUAACUGACGCUGAGACGCGAAAGCGUGGGGAGCAAACAGG
rnacentral:rRNA from 1 species